rnacentral:rRNA from 1 species
UUUAGAGGAAGUAAAAGUCGUAACAAGGUUUCCGUAGGUGAACCUGCGGAAGGAUCAUUAUUGAAUUAGUUGGGAGGCUGUCGCUGGCUCUUUUAAAAGAGCAUGUGCACGCCUUUCAAACUCUUUCUCCCACCUUCACCUGUGCACCUUUUGUAGAUGCUGGAUAUUGGAUUUGCAUUGCAUUGAUGCAGUUUAGAAGGGGUGCUGGCUUUCAAUGGUCGGCUGCCUUUGUACAAGUCUCAGCAUCUAUGUUUUCAUUACACACGUCUUCAGUUAAUAAAAUGUUUAUUUAUAAAUAUAAAUACAACUUUCAACAACGGAUCUCUUGGCUCUCGCAUCGAUGAAGAACGCAGCGAAAUGCGAUAAGUAAUGUGAAUUGCAGAAUUCAGUGAAUCAUCGAAUCUUUGAACGCACCUUGCGCUCCUUGGUAUUCCGAGGAGCAUGCCUGUUUGAGUGUCUUUAAAUUCUCAACCACCUUUUCUUUCUUGAGAGGGUUGGCUUGGAUUGUGGAGGUUUUUGCAGGCUUUUGAAUAAGCUGGCUCCUCUUAAAUGUAUUAGCGGGACAAUGCUCUUUUGUUUGACCGUCUGGUGUGAUAAAUUAUCUACGCCGUUUCAAGUCGAUAAAAGUGUCCAGCUUCUUAAUUAUACAAGUCUUUGUUCAGACAAAUGACUAUUUGACAAAUUCGACCUCAAAUCAGGUAGGACUACCCGCUGAACUUAAGCAUAUCAAUAAGCGGAGGA